rnacentral:rRNA from 1 species
UACGUAGGGGGCAAGCGUUAUCCGGAUUUAUUGGGUUUAAAGGGUGCGUAGGCGGGUUAUUAAGUCAGUGGUGAAAGCCUGCAGCUUAACUGCAGAAUUGCCAUUGAUACUGAUGAUCUUGAGUAUGAUUGAGGUGGGCGGAAUGUGUCAUGUAGCGGUGAAAUGCUUAGAUAUGACACAGAACACCGAUUGCGAAGGCAGCUCACUAAGCCAUAACUGACGCUGAUGCACGAAAGCGUGGGUAGCAAACAGG